rnacentral:rRNA from 1 species
UAGAGUUUGAUCCUGGCUCAGAGCGAACGCUGGCGGCAGGCCUAACACAUGCAAGUCGAACGGACUCUUCGGAGUUAGUGGCGGACGGGUGAGUAACACGUGGGAACGUGCCUUUAGGUUCGGAAUAAGCCCGGGAAACUGGGUCUAAUACCGAAUGUGCCCUUCGGGGGAAAGAUUUAUCGCCUUUAGAGCGGCCCGCGUCUGAUUAGCUAGUUGGUGGUGUAAUGGACCACCAAGGCGACGAUCAGUAGCUGGUCUGAGAGGAUGACCAGCCACAUUGGGACUGAGACACGGCCCAAACUCCUACGGGAGGCAGCAGUGGGGAAUCUUGCGCAAUGGGCGAAAGCCUGACGCAGCCAUGCCGCGUGGAUGAUGAAGGUCUUAGGAUUGUAAAAUCCUUUCACCGGUGAAGAUAAUGACUGUAGCCGGAGAAGAAGCCCCGGCUAACUUCGUGCCAGCAGCCGCGGUAAUACGAAGGGGGCUAGCGUUGCUCGGAAUUACUGGGCGUAAAGGGAGCGUAGGCGGACAUUUAAGUCAGGGGUGAAAUCCCAGAGCUCAACUCUGGAACUGCCUUUGAUACUGGGUGUCUUGAGUGUGAGAGAGGUAUGUGGAACUCCGAGUGUAGAGGUGAAAUUCGUAGAUAUUCGGAAGAACACCAGUGGCGAAGGCGACAUACUGGCUCAUUACUGACGCUGAGGCUCGAAAGCGUGGGGAGCAAACAGGAUUAGAUACCCUGGUAGUCCACGCCGUAACGAUGAUUGCUAGUUGUCGGGAAGCUUGCUUCUCGGUGACGCAGCUAACGCAUUAAGCAAUCCGCCUGGGGAGUACGGUCGCAAGAUUAAAACUCAAAGGGAAUUGACGGGGGCCCGCACAAGCGGUGGAGCAUGUGGUU